rnacentral:rRNA from 1 species
AGGAUUAACGCUGGCGGCGUGCAUGAAACAUGCAAGUCGAGCGCGGCGCGUGGCUUCGGUCACGCGUCUAGCGGCGCACGGGUGAGUAACACGUGAGCAACCUACCUUCGAGUUCGGGAUAGCCCUGGGAAACCAGGAUUAAUACCGGAUGUGGUCACAACGGGACAUCCCGAUGUGAAAAAAGGCGCAAGCCGCUCGAUGACGGGCUCGCGGCCUAUUAGCUUGUUGGUGGGGUAACGGCCUACCAAGGCGACGAUGGGUAGCUGGUCUGAGAGGACGAUCAGCCACACUGGGACUGAGACACGGCCCAGACUCCUACGGGAGGCAGCAGUUAGGAAUUUUCCGCAAUGGGCGAAAGCCUGACGGAGCAACGCCGCGUGUGUGAUGAAGGCCUUCGGGUUGUAAGCACUGUCGGAGGGAAGAAUGAAUGACGGUACCCUCCAAGAAGCCCGGCUAACUACGUGCCAGCAGCCGCGGU